ACCUUUCUAGUAUUAAACCGUACGAGUGACUUCCAAUCACCUGGUCUUGGUUAGAGUCCAAGGGAAGGUA
rnacentral:tRNA from 1 species